CACGUAGGGGGCGAGCGUUGUCCGGAUUUAUUGGGCGUAAAGAGCUCGUAGGCGGCUCGGUAAGUCGGGUGUGAAACCUCCAGGCUCAACCUGGAGACGCCACCCGAUACUGCCGUGGCUAGAGUUCGGUAGAGGAGCGUAGAAUUCCUGGUGUAGCGGUGAAAUGCGCAGAUAUCAGGAGGAUUACCAUCGGCGAAGGCGGCGCUCUGGGCCGGUACUGGCGCUGAGGAGCGAAAGCGUGGGGAGCAAACAGG
rnacentral:rRNA from 1 species